AGGGUUUGAUCAUGGCUCAGGACGAACGCUGGCGGCAUGCCUAACACAUGCAAGUCGAACGAGAAAGUUCCUUCGGGAGCAAUUAAAGUGGCGCACGGGUGAGUAACGCGUAGACAAUCUGCCCUUCAGUCUGGGACAACUUUUCGAAAGGAGAGCUAAUACCGGAUAACAAUGCAUGACACAAGUUGUAUAUUUGAAAGCUUUAUGUGCUGAAGGAGGGGUCUGCGUCCCAUUAGCUAGUUGGUAAGGUAAAGGCUUACCAAGGCAACGAUGGGUAGCGGGUUUGAGAGGACGAUCCGCCACACUGGAACUGAGACACGGUCCAGACUCCUACGGGAGGCAGCAGUGGGGAAUAUUGCACAAUGGAGGAAACUCUGAUGCAGCAAUGUCGCGUGAGUGAAGAAGGCCCUUGGGUCGUAAAGCUCUUUUAUGGGGGAAGAUGAUGACGGUACCCCAAGAAUAAGCACCGGCUAACUAUGUGCCAGCAGCCGCGGUAAUACAUAGGGUGCGAGCGUUGUUCGGAAUUACUGGGCGUAAAGGGCGCGCAGGCGGAAUAGUAAGUCGGAGGUGAAAGCCCGGGGCUCAACCCCGGAGGGUCUUUCGAAACUACUAAUCUAGAGAGGGUCAGGGGCCGGCAGAAUUCCUGGUGUAGAGGUGAAAUUCGUAGAUAUCAGGAGGAAUACCGG
rnacentral:rRNA from 1 species